rnacentral:rRNA from 1 species
AGGAUGAACGCUGGCGGCGUGCCUAAUACAUGCAAGUCGAGCGGUAAGGCCCCUUCGGGGGUACACGAGCGGCGGACGGCUGAGUAACACGUAGGAACGUACCCCAAAGUGAGGGAUAAGCACCAGAAAUGGUGUCUAAUACCGCAUGUGCUCUUCGGAGGAAAGCUUCGGCGCUUUGGGAACGGCCUGCGCAUGAUUAGCUUGUUGGUGAGGUAAUGGCUCACCAAGGCGACGAUCAUUAGCUGGUCUGAGAGGAUGAUCAGCCAGACUGGGACUGAGAACGGCCCAGACUCCUACGGGAGGCAGCAGUAGGGAAUUUUCCACAAUGGGCGAAAGCCUGAUGAGCAACGCCGCGUGCAGGAUGAAUGCCUUCGGGUUGUAAACUGCUUUUAUAUGUGACGAAUAUGACGGUAGCAUAUGAAUAAGGAUCGGCUAACUCCGUGCCAGCAGCCGCGGU